UUUCCUCUGCCAGUCUGCCUUCAUUGUCACGUCUGGUCACGUGCCGGUGACACAGGUCCAUCUCUGGUGAAAACUGAAAAGAUUCAUAGGUGAAACGCUACAAAGUUUUUCUCUCCUCUAUUAAAAUCACAAACGUAUGGGAAAUAAACACCUGGUGAUCGUGUUACAGUGCACGAAUAUCCUAGUCUGAUUCCCGACUGCUGAAUCGACAAUGAACUUUGAAUUAUGCAGAUGAUCGUUGUGCCGAUACUUCGGGCCAGAGCAGACGGAGAAAUCCUUCUCUGGAGUCACAAGUCGAUUCAUUGUCAGCUCCUUGGUGAAACUCCUCAGUUCCAGAACUUUGUCAUCCAGCAACGUGAAACCCGAAGUGCACAUCCAUCCAAGUUGCUGCCCAUCGUUAACAAUGUUCUGCUAGACUGAAUCCAUGGACUUGGAAUCGAUAUCAUAAACACCAACCAAGGUACUACAAACUUCCAGACUAUGUAUCAGCUGUUUGAUGGACUCCGCUGAUUCGUGUCCAGCAUCCAGCCCAGAGUCACCAAAAUAGAACGCUAAUCAACAGUCUUUAUCGUAUAAUGAGCAGCUCAAUCUCAAAUCUAAAUG